rnacentral:rRNA from 1 species
UGGGGAAUUUUACGCAAUGGGCGAAAGCCUGACGUAGCGACACCGCGUGAGCGAAGAAGCCCUUUGGGGUGUAAAGCUCUGUCGGCAGGGACGAAUAAAUUGACGGUACCUGCAAAGGAAGCAUCGGCUAACUACGUGCCAGCAGCCGCGGUAAGACGUAGGAUGCGAGCGUUGUCCGGAUUCAUUGGGCGUAAAGAGUUCGUAGGCGGUUUAUUAAGUCUGAUGUUAAAGAUCAGGGCCCAACCCUGGAGGUGCAUUGGAUACUGGUAGACUGGAGUGCAGUAGAGGCGAGUGGAAUUCCCAGUGUAGCGGUGAAAUGCGUAGAUAUUGGGAAGAACACCGGUGGCGCAGGCGACUCGCUGGGCUGUAACUGACGCUGAGGAACGAAAGCUAGGGGAGCAAAUGGGAUUAGAUACCCCCGUAGUCC